rnacentral:lncRNA from 1 species
AGUGGUAUCGAGAACGCUACUGCCUCGAAAUCGUCAACCGCAGUGCCCGACUAACAACCGACUGCCUACCCCGUGCCGACGUGUGUGUGCGCGCGCCAACUGCGAACCCGGACCUAGGGCAUGAGCCACCCUGAAACGGAUGUAGCCUAACGCGCCUCUUUUCCUUCGCGGAUAGCUGAACCCUCGUCCCCCAUGCUUUCGCCAAUUUUGUGGAUCUCUAAGGGAUUUUUACACAGGAAAUGUAGUGUGCCGUGUCGAUGGGAAUUUCGGGUGUGUUACAUUUGCGCCACGUGGAGGAAAGUGCAUUCUGGCGUCGGAAUAAAAAGAGGGUACCGGUUGCCCGGCGAGUCGCAGGUGCGUUUAGGAGAUGUCACAAAAGCUCGGCUUUUUUUCGAGAUAGCAAAAGGAUAAACGGUGCCGCUCCAAUGCGAAUAUUUUCAGGAUAUUGCUACGCAGCAAUAGUCAUCGCAAGUUUUCUAAUCGGCGAAGUUCUUGGCGAUAAAGAAGCAGCUCAGCUCAACGUGUGCACGAACUGCGCGCCCAAAUGUCUGGCGGACAUCCGGCCCGGCUCAGAGACCAUCCCCUCCCCGGCAACGGAACAGACACCGGAAACACAACGGUCGACUCGAGCAGAUCGACGAACACGACGAACUGGUUCAACGGGACCGACAACAGCUCCUUCAGCUCGCGCCGCUUCAUGCGCCUGAGCAGCUACAUGGACAUGACCAACAUCCGCCGGACCUUCAAACGGAUGCGGAGCAUCUACCUCAUCUACCAGCCGGAGCUCCGCAUGUUCUGGUGCCUCUUCACCUUCUUCCCCUGGUGACGGCCUUCUCCGGUCGGACCACGGACGCCGGGCCCAACACCGACCGCAGCGACAUGACCGGCAUGACCGGCAUGCCUGAGACGACCUACCCGCCCGAAGUGACCUACGACCUGCUUGACCCGGAUUGGCAGCCGGCGCCCACCUUCGGCCAGUUCGUCAACGCGCCCACCAAUCCAGGCCCGGACUUCAACGGAUCCAACUGGUUCCUCGCCCAAGACGCCAACUUGUCCGGCCUCCAGACCGGUCUCUUUCGUCGCCAGCAGCGUGGGCUCCGCCGGAGUCGCCGGUCCCCGGGCCCGGCAGGCCGCAUCACCGGUCCUCUGUGCCCGGCAGGCCUCAUCGCCGCCAGAAGCGGACGGUAGACCAGAUCCAGAAGCUCUUCCAGAGGGUCAUGCGGCGGCACCUCUUCCGGCUGGUCAGCGCGUACCUGUCCCUGCUUGGUUUCGAGAUCCCGGCGGAUAAGCUGGAGACGCGGACCCUGGUGGCGCUAUCCAUGUUCAUGGGUCUCUUCCAGGGCUUCGUGUCCGGUUUCCGGAAGCUCCUUUUCGCCACGCCGCUGACGUGUUUCGCGUCGUACGGUGUUGUCAAGUUUAUCACCUGGGUUGAUAAUUUCAGUUUCUAGACAGCGUUAUCUCGGUGAACCACUUGGAGGAAACUGUGCGAUACGGAGAAGUCUUCGCUCUGAUUAAAUUAAAAUUUUGAGGGAAAGCGCCGUAUGAGUAUUUCAAUGUUGCCAAAUUUACCUGGAUAAAAUAUUGUUUUUUUUGUUGUUUUUUAAAGAAAAAAAGGUGUUCUUUAUAUAUAUUUUCAGACGUACCACUUAAAAAUGCUAACAAAAUUUUGUGAAAUUUUUGAAAAAAAACUUAAAUUUUCAAGAUAAAUUUCGAUUCAGGGGAGAAAAUUUGUUAAGGUGCGGAUGUUCAUACAAGGUUCUCUCUUAAAGGCCUUUUUCACACGAGCGCAGUUUGGACAAAUUAGUUCCGCGAAUUGUGGGUUCCAGGAACGAGUUAUAGGUGAGUUAUAACAAGUUUCUCGAACAAUCUCGCCUGAAAUUCCUCGAACCGUGCUCGUGUGGACAAGGCCGUAAUGAUGGAAUAAGAGCGUCGAACCCCAGUGUUGGACUCUUAGCCCUAAAUUCCUUUUCCAUACGAGUAGAAUAGGUGUUACAACAAACAAAAUUGAAGGUAAUUGUGAAUUUAAAGAGUGAAGUGAAAAAUUUUCAAGAACUUAGACUUCGGUCAUUUUAGGCGAAACUGAUCUUUAAUAUGGUAAGUUAAAUUGAACGUAAGAUCCUAUUGUCAUUGCCUCAAUAUUUGAAUAAAGUUCUAAAAACAGUAAUUUUAUAAGAUUAAACACGUUUCUCUCAACAAAAUCAACUUUUGAAUUAGUUAAAACAUAUUUUUACUCUUUCAGCCGUAAUACCAUUCCAUUCCUUGAAGGCAACAAGAAUUUUAGUUGCCUCAGUAAGAAUAUUGCAGAAAACUUGUACCUAUUAAAAGCUCCAAAACGGAAAACAAGAAGACACAACAAAAAGGAAACAUUUCUACAUGCAAAAGAAAUUGUAGUCCCAUCAAGUAGGCACACGACUACUUAGUUCUAUUGUACUGACUGUACUUGACCGAUUGCUCAAAAAUAUCUUGUUGAUGUUAAAAAUUCUCCAGACCUUUAAAUUUCUCGAAAGGAAUCAAUAAAGGAGGAAAUGGUCUCGAAUACUUCUAAUGAGUACGGAGAUGGAAUUAUUCUUAACUUUGCCCUGCCGAUGAGUAAUCCUACCCCACAGAAAAUUGUUUUGUCUGGAAACUUCCCUUGAAUGUUGAAUAUUGAGGCUACCUCGCCGUUGUAAAAAAUAGUAUAGGUGUGAAUAAUGUACAUCCGUAUUUUUACUGCUCUUUCUCAAUUUGAGCCUUGGAUAAAUCAAAGUAAUUAAUCGAAAAAUCUAGGAUUCCUAGAAUAUCUCAUGUGCAAUUUGAGGAUGCCUGUAUCUAGGAUCCGAAUUUGUAGUCCAUUUUAGCAGCCCCUAUUCAGCAGAUAUGUAUAUUUAUUUAAAUCGAUUUUACCAGAAGCUAGUCUGUAAAUAAUUGUAGGUCUAUGCCGUGGUUUUGAACUUGUAUAGUCUGUUUUAGCUCCCCAUUUUCAAAAUGUACAUUAUUUAAAUUGAUUUAUCGAGACUUGUGUGUGAAUAAAUUUAGGAAUUUUAAUUGAGUGUACUGAUAUUUUUGAUAAUACAACUGUAUAUACCCACGUAGUUUGUGUAUUAUAUUUUGGACAGCAACUUUAGUAAAAAUUCAAUCGUCGUUCUGUUCUCAUAUAAUCACAAUAUCAGCCUGCAUGAAAUGUGAGGUAAAACAACCUGUGCAUACACCUAGCCGUUAAAAAAGAAAAUACCCUUCUAAAUGAACUGUAAAUGCAUAAGAAUACAGGCACUUCAGGUUCAGGGCUCGUCUGAAAAAAGGAUUUUUGACGACAGUGGGUUCGAAAAGAACUGACGCUAUGACGAUGGUAUAUGAAAGGAAUAACUGUGUCAUAUUUAAAUGAACAUGGAAAUGGAUAAAUAAUGAUUUUAGAUUUUUUCAGAAUUAUAAAGGUCCGGAUCUAGUUAUUAAGUCAUUCAUAAUUGGAAAUUUGAGUUGCUUUAUUUGACUUAAAAUUCCAAUAAAGUUUAAAUGUGUCCCGAGUUCCCAUUUACAUAACUGAUUGUUACAACUAAAAAUGGAAAUUAAUUUUAAUCGUAACUAUGUCAAGAUGGAGUUAUAAGAUUAGAUUGCUAUUUUUCUAUCACUUAAAGGGACGAUUUAUUUUUAAGAUAAACCCAAUGGAUUAUGAGUAAAAAAAGGAGUUUUUUGCAUACUUACUCAUACAUCAUAAUAAAAUCUGUGCAUUUGAAAAACCUUAGUCCAAGCUUUCACUUACGAGCGAAUUUUAAGAGGUUUUCAUGGGUUCAAAAUGUUCUUUGUGAAAAUUGUAUGAAUAAACGUGGGUUGAGGUCGUUCAAUUCUUAUACCCCGUUUAGUGACUCAUUCUAUGAAAUUUAGCACAAAAGACUCUCUGAAAACAAACAAUAACCAACAAAGCAAUAAAAAUUUACCUAGGGAGUUCAGAAUAGAGCCAUUUCGUAUCAAAAACGGAUUUUUGAUUUUGCAACUUCUGUCUUUCAGUUUUGCUCGACCGGCCGUGAAAAUUAUAUUCCAGACAUAAAAAAUGAACUUUUGAGUUAAAAUACACCGUGUUUUGAGCCGUCCUUUGCUCUGCAGGUGGAAAAACUUCAAACACCUCACCAGCGCAUUUAGCUUCAUGAUCAGAACAUAGCAGAAAAAUGCAAAAAUCCGAAGCUCCUUCAUUUAUUGGACACGCAACACGGACAGUCUUUAGGUGGGUUUAGUAGCAAUCAACAGGGGUUAUUAUCAACAUAGCGUCGCAUAUCGAUGGUGAAAUUGCAGAAGUGCGUAGGUAUCUCAGAGAACACGAUUUUCCAGGAGAGUAAAAAAGAUGUGUACAUUCCUCUUUAUUGUUAGUAGAAGAGUAAUAAUUCUUGAGGAUAGCAAGAAUAAGAUGUUUUUUUAGACUCCAUCAGCACUUUGAAUAAUUUCUCGGACUGUUAGAAAAUAAGGCAGAAAUGCCGAGAUUCACAUUUUCGGCACUAAGAAUUGGCACUUCACCACGCAGAUACGCAUUUUGCAAUUAGUGUGUUAAACCUGCU